rnacentral:rRNA from 1 species
GUUGUGACCCCAGGAUGGGCGGGGUGACCCGCUGAGUUUAAGCAUAUCAAUAAGCGGAGGAGAGGAAACUUACGAGGAUUCCCCUA